AUUGUGCCUACAAAAAUCUUUGCUGGCAAAAAAUCGUCAUGAAUGGUUGAGAGGACCACUAAUGGUGUAGUGGUAAACUGUACCCAAACCUGCUGUUCUUUAUUGUUCCAAUAUUCAUUCCCUAAACAAUUUGGAAGUGAAUCAUUCAUAUUUUUUCAAUCUAACAACAAACAAUGUUUUCAUCAGUGGAACUAAUUUUAAUCAAGUCAGUCACAAUCAAGUUAAGAAGAUAGUGCCCACAAAAAUCUUUGCCAGCAAAUCAUUUAAUUUUGGCUGCAUUAUCUGCGGCUAUUGGAUUUGUUUAUAUCAGCACUGUUUGAACAUUCUUAUAUUUUAAUUCCAAAAGUUUGUUUCACAGGUUUCAGGAUGUCGGCGAGUUUGCAGUGGUCAAUAAUAAGAAAUAACUCUUCAUUCCUUGUGAAGAGUUUGGGGAAUACUUUUACCAAGGUGUGUUUG
rnacentral:lncRNA from 1 species